rnacentral:rRNA from 1 species
AGGGAUACCCGCUGAAACUUAAGGCAUAUCAAUAAGCGGAGGAAAAGAAACCAACAGGGAUUGCCCUAGUAACGGCGAGUGAAGCGGCAACAGCUCAAAUUUGAAAUCUGGCGCAAGCCCGAGUUGUAAUUUGUAGAGGAUGCUUCUGGGUAGCGACCGAUCUAAGUUCCUUGGAACAGGACGUCAUAGAGGGUGAGAAUCCCGUAUGUGACCGGCCCGCACCCUUUACGUAGCUCCUUCGACGAGUCGAGUUGUUUGGGAAUGCAGCUCUAAAUGGGAGGUAAAUUUCUUCUAAAGCUAAAUACCGGCCAGAGACCGAUAGCGCACAAGUAGAGUGAUCGAAAGAUGAAAAGUACUUUGGAAAGAGAGUUAAAAAGCACGUGAAAUUGUUGAAAGGGAAGCGCCUAUAACCAGACUUCGCGGCAGUGUUCCGCCGGUCUUCUGACCGGUUCAUUCUCUGUCGCGAGGCCAUCAUCGUCUGGGCCCGCCGGAUAAGACCUUAGGAAUGUAGCUCACCUUCGGGGGAGUGUUAUAGCCUAUGGUGAUGCGGCGAGGCUCGGGCGAGGUCCGCGCUUCGGCAAGGAUGAUGGCGUAAUGGUUGUCGGCGGCCCGUCUUGAAACACGGACCAAGGAGUCUAACAUCUAUGCGAGUGUUCGGGUGUCAAACCCCUACGCGUAAUGAAAGUGAACGGAGGUGGGAACCGCAAGGUGCACCAUCGACCGAUCCUGAUGUCCUCGGAUGGAUUUGAGUAAGAGCAUAGCUGUUGGGACCCGAAAGAUGGUGAACUAUGCCUGAAUAGGGUGAAGCCAGAGGAAACUCUGGUGGAGGCUCGCAGCGGUUCUGACGUGCAAAUCGAUCGUCAAAUUUGGGUAUAGGGGCGAAAGACU